rnacentral:misc_RNA from 1 species
GUUUGAGCGUCAGUACCCACUCUGUUGAAAUAUUUUUUUCCUCAGGUCUUGAAGGACACCUGUCCUUUCAAUGUAGACGCUUGCGAACCCGAUACCGAUCAUGACGUAGUAAUUUCAUUUCGUCUUGUCAAGUUGACGGCCGCCUGAACCAAACUUUGUAGUUUGACCUCAGAUCAGACAAGGAUACCCGCUGAACUUAA